rnacentral:sRNA from 1 species
AUCUAUUGCUGCAAGCUAUCCCUCGCUGCUAAACUAUCCCUCACUACUAAGCUAUCUAUCGCUGCUAAUCUAUCUAUUGCUGCAAGCUAUCCCUCGCUGCUAAGCUAUCCCUCGCUGCUAAGCUAUCCCUCGCUGCUAAGCUAUCGCCGCUGCCAACCUAUCUAUCGCUGCCAAUUUAUCUACCACUGCCAAUCUAUCUACUGCUGCUAAUCUAUCGCCGCUGCUAAGCUAUCCCUCGCUGCUAAGCUAUCCCUCGCUGCUAAGCUCGCUGCUAAGCUAUCCCUCGCUGCUAAGCUCGCUGCUAAGCUAUCCCUCGCUGCUAAGCUCUCGCCGCUGCCAACCUAUCUAUCGCUGCCAAUUUAUCUACCACUGCCAAUCUAUCUAUCGCUGCUAAUCUAUCUAUUGCUGCUAAUCUAUCGCUGCUAAUCUAUCGCUGCCAACCUAUCUACCGCGGCGAAUCUAUCCAUCGCUGCCAAUUUAUCUACCACUGUCAAUCUAUCUAUCGCUGCUAAUCUAUCGCUGCUAAUCUAUUGCUGCUGCCAAUCUAUCUAUCACUGCUAAUCUAUUGCUGCUAAUCUAUCACUGCUAAUCUAUCGCUGCUAAUCUAUCGCUGCCAACCUAUCUACCGCGGCGAAUCUAUCUAUUGCUGCCAAUCAACCUAUCUACCACUGCCAACCUAUCUAUCGCUGCCAAUCUAUCUACUGCAGUGAAUCUAUCUAUCACUAUCAUUACUAGUUCAAAAUAGAACUAGAGCAUAAAUACACUAAACUUCUUUUGAUAGAUAAUGAUUUUUGGUAACACUUAUAGCAUUAUAUCAUCUAUAUAGGGUAAAUCAUGGUCCCAUUUGGUCCCAUUUUGCAAAAUGGGAUCAAAUGGAAUCAGAAUCAGUAAUUUAUAAGAAGAACAUGACCUGAGACUAGAUUUAUAAUAUAAACAGUGUAAAGUGACUAAUUUAAUAAACACUAUAUGAG